rnacentral:rRNA from 1 species
AACGAACGCUGGCGGCAUGCCUAACACAUGCAAGUCGAACGAGACCUUCGGGUCUAGUGGCGCACGGGUGCGUCACGCGUGGGAACCUGCCCUUAGGUUCGGCAUAACUCCCCGACAGGGGUGCUAAUACCGGAUAAUGUCUUCGGACCAAAGAUUUAUCGCCUUUGGAUGGUCCCGCGUUGGAUUAGCUAGUUGGUAGGGUAAAAGCCUACCAAGGCGAGGAUCCAUAGCUGGUCUGAGAGGCUGGUCAGCCACACUGGGACUGAGACACGGCCGAGACUCUUACGCGAGGCAGCAGUGGGGAAUAGUGGAAAGCCGGGGAAAGCAUGAUGCAGCAAGGCCGCGAGAGUGAUGAUGGCAUUAGAGAUGAUAAGCGCUUUUACCCGGGAUGAUCAUGACAGUACCGGGAGAAUAAGCCCCGGCUAACUCCGUG